GUUAACAACUUGUAACAACCUUGUUGAUAUUAUCGGAGUUGUUGCAAGGUUGUUCUGACAAGUCUGUUACAUGCUUGAUAUAACAAGAUUGUUAUCAGCCUUGUAACAUCCUUGGCUGUAACGAACUUGUUGGCACAGUCUUGUAACAAGGCUGAUAAUGUCAUCAAGCUUGUUACAAGUUGUUAAC